rnacentral:tRNA from 1 species
UGCAGCGUGUCUGGAAGGGUUCCAGAGCGGUCUCAUAAGCCGCCAUAUGCAGGUUCGAGUCCUGCCGCUGCAACCA